rnacentral:rRNA from 1 species
UACGGGGGGAGCAAGCGUUGUUCGGAUUUACUGGGCGUAAAGGGCGCGUAGGCGGCAGAGCAAGUCGAGUGUGAAAGCCCCGAGCUUAACUUGGGAAUUGCGCUCGAAACUACUUUGCUGGAGUGUGGCAGAGGAAGGUGGAAUUCCAGGUGUAGCGGUGAAAUGCGUAGAGAUCUGGAGGAAUACCUGUGGUGUAGACAGCUUACUGGACCAUAACUGACGCUGAGGCACGAAAGCGUGGGUAGCAAACAGG